CAAUAGCGUAUAUUAAAGUUGUUGCAGUUAAAAAGCUCGUAGUUGGAUUUCUGGGAGGGUGCCAAUGUCCGUCAACGUGCGUGUGCAGCGGCGCCCUUCCAUCCUUCUGUUAACGCCUCUGGGCAUUUAUUUGCUGGUGGCGGGCUCAGAUAUUUUACCUUGAGAAAAUUAGAGUGCUCAAAGCAGGCUAUUACGCCUGAAUAUUCGUGCAUGGAAUAAUAGAAUAGGAAGUCGUUUCUAUUUUUGUUGGUUUUCGGAAAUCGACUUAAUGAUUAAUAGGGACAGUCGGGGGCAUUUGUAUUCAACGACAGAGGUGAAAUUCUUGGACCGUUUGAAGACAAACUACUGCGAAAGCAUUUGCCAAGAAUGUUU
rnacentral:rRNA from 1 species